UCUUAUCUGAACUAUUUUUUAAUCUAAUUAAAAUCUAAAAAUAUUGAAUAUAAAGUUCAAUCCGCCGACUGCGUCUAGCGCAAGUGGCAAAAAAUUUAACAGUUGAUAUAUGAAAUUUCAAAUUUGAGUUUUAAUUGAUUCACAUUUAGAGUUAUAUUUAUUUUUAAAUAAAAUAAAUCGAAAUAAGUAGCAUGCUAUUUCUCUUUCUCUUGAUAAAGUAUUCUAAGUACUCUCCUUUGUUUGCAAGUUCUCAUCUAAAAAAAUAAAAAGAAAAUGCAGUACCUUAUGGUGUGUUUGGAUUCCUGUAAAACUCCGUUGAAAAAAAAUUUUCGGUUGAAAUUUUUUUUUUCCAUGUUUGGUUGUCUGUAAAAAUUGUAUGAGAAAGUUAUUUUUCAGAUUUCUCAGAAAAAUCNAUAUAUAUAUAGUGCGUCUACUAUACUUUCGAAAGUACCGGGACCUUCGUGCUUGUAAGUUGUUUUCGAUGAUAGGACAUCCGAUUUGACGAUCGACUCCGUUAGGUAUAUCUACCCUAUUGGAACUAUCUAGAAACCAAAUUUUAUAAUUUUUUGACAUCAUUUACUAAGCGAUCAAAAGGUCCCAAAAAUGACUAUUUUAAUGGCCGAUGCGGCACGUUUUUAAGUUCAACGGUGUAGAAGCAUCUAAAUUACAUGAAAAUUUAAUAGAAAAUCCUACUUAACGUCAAUAGCAAGAUCAAUACUUUCGAUUUGAAAUUUGAAUCCUUUAUCAUUAUUUUUUAUGAGAUUUUUAUUUUCAGCCGUUCGUUUUGAGACUACUCGUUCACUAGGCAAAUGAAGUCAAAAAAUUAUGAAAUUUGGUUUAGAGAUAGUUCCAAUAGCGUAGAUCAUGUCUAACGGAACCGAUCGCUGAAUUGGAAGUCCCAUCAUCGAAAACAACUUACAAGUACGGAGUCUCCGUACUUUCGAAAGCAUAGGAGCCUAGCUCUCUCUCUCUCUCUCUCUCUAUAUAUAUAUAUAAGCUUUAAAUAUAUAUUUAUUUAUUAUAUAUUCAUUUAUUUUUAUAUAGAAAUAUUAUUAUAUAAAAUUUUAUUUAUAAAUUUAUAAUUAUUUCUUAAUAUUUUUAAAUAUAUAACUCUUAUAUAUUAUGUAAUAUAUUUAUUAUAAUUUUAAAUAUAUUUAAUUUAUAUAUAAAAAUUAUAAUAAUAAUAUAUAUAGUAUAUUAAUUAUUAUAUAAUAAUAAUAUAUAUAAUAAAAAAUAUAUUAAACAACGUUUCAUCAAUUUUUCUUUUCCUUCCAACUAAAUAAUCAUUAUGAAAAACUAUUUUUCUUUUCCUAUAAACUAAACACUAAAUUACGUAAAACUUUUUUUCCACCGAAAAUUUUUUUCAACUGAAAUUUUUUUUUCCCAAUUUUACGUCAAACCAAACAACCCCUUAGCAAAAAUCAUAUAUCCAGAAUUUAGUAUUAAAAAUUUAUUAUAAUUGCUCUAAAAGUUAUUCUAUAAUAUUGCUUAUAACUCAACUUCUACUAAC
rnacentral:lncRNA from 1 species